CCUACAGAAAAUGGAUAUACUGUACCCAGGAGACAUGGUCGCAGGUGCCAUGUGGCUCAUUCUCCUCCCUGCCCUCUUUCCCUCCAUCUCUCCUUCUGUAUCAUUCCCUGUGCAUUCUCUCUUUCCUCUCUUCCUUUCCCCGCUGUUCCUUCCCUCUUUCCCAGCCUGCAGCCCUUCAUCUGCCGAAUCAAAAGGCCGAAAUGUGUGGCGCUGAGAACGGCGUCUCGGGAGCUCGUGCUCUUCGGCACGAGGGCAGAACAAGCUCUGAUUCUGGUAUCUGUGUUGUAGAAACGAAAGCAGCGUAGUGACAUAAUUCAACACCCAGCUUCAAGUGCUUCAUCUAAAAAAAAAAACUGACUGUUUGAAUCUGCCUGAAAAUGGAAAUUUCUGGCUUUUUGUUCGGUUCUGUCCCCUCUCUCUUUUUUGGUGUUCCUUCUAUUGGUGGGCGGGGACUUUGAAGUCCUUAUCUGAGGCUAAAUGGCCGCUUUGUUGCAGACCAUACUACUUUCCAAAAGAUGAGUUGCACAUAGAAAGCUAGAAAAAAUGUGGAAUGUGAAGGAGGCAGCUGGGAUUUGUUCAUUUAUAUGCUGAAAAGGGCACCACGUCUGAAAAUCGGCAAGUGCCGAAGAUGAACAGCUCCCUAACUGCUUUUCAGCAGGUCAGGGCUGUUCAUUCCUACAAGUUAUGCCGGCGUGACUUAAAAGGACAGAUAUUUCUUUUCUAAUUCAAAAUAAAAUUGAUUGUUCAGAUAUUUGCCCCACAGAUAUCGAAGUCUGGUGUUUUUUAUCUUUAUUAUUUCUUUAUUGUUUGCUUUUAAAGUGUUUGAAUUUAUCUUUGCAUUUAAAGCUAACUCUACACUGCCUUUCUGAUGCUUCAUUGCUUGCAUUUCUGAAGAGCAACUUGUUCCACUGCCUAAUGCACAAGUAACACUAGCUUCUCAACUUCCGUGCUAUUUUCUGUGUAAAUUUACAUAACUGUGUAAAUUUACAACAGAUUAUACAGUUUAAAGAAAUUGUUAAUUUCAUUACAUUGCUGCCUUGUAGUUCAUUAAACAUAAUACUUUGUACUGAGAUUCCCCAUCCUGGACCUUGAUACCCACCAAACUGCCUGGUUUUAUUCCAGCUAAAUUCUGGAUUCAACAAUAGAACCCUUACUUGACUUUACGAGGAUUAAUUGGGACUGUUUGGGUGUUUUCCACUCUUAAAAAGAAUGUUGGAUUUUCAAAAAAAUCUUAUACGUAUUCCGGUCAAGCAGCCUUGCAGUUUAAUGAAGUUACUAAGCUGAGUGGCAAUGAAAGGCAGCAGGCGUGUGGGCCUCCAGGACCAGUGUUGGGACAACCAGGAACGUCUGGGCUGCGCUUUAAGUAAGUGCCUUUGUGAUUGAGCCAUUUGGAAGCGGCGGAGUCACUUUUGUUUGAGCUGACUGUAAGAUGAAAGCAGGCAGCACAGUGUCAGAGUGGUUGGCAUUGCUACCUUGGAGCACUGGCCCUGUGUUCGUUGCUGGGUGGAGUUUGAAUGUUCUUCAGAUCCUCUGUGUUCAGUUCUGGAGCUGGGGUGCUAUCUGCGUGGAGUUUGAAUCUCCUCCGCAUCUUCACGUGGGUUGUGUCUGACUGCCCUGAGGUGGACUGGUGUCUGGGCCAGGGUGAAUCCUGCCUUCCAAGCAUUGCUUGCUGGGAUGGGCUCUGUCUCCCCCACAACCCUGAACUGGAUGCAGCAGUUAGGAAAUUGAUGGAUGUGGAGGUUCAAAGCAUGACAAUUAUUUAGGCUAUGAGUACGCAACCUGGCUCUUCCCCAGCAAUUACAAGUCUUUGCAAGUCUUCCAACUGUAGUUUUAGUUAUAGGUGAUCUUGAGCUCCUGGGUCAAUUAAGUAGUAACAGAUCAACUGAGUAAUUAGGGAAUGGGAAAGUUCAAAGUCAUACAAUUUUGUGGUGUUUAAAAAAAUGGGUGAGCCAGAUUGCCUAUCCCUGUUUUAGAUUUUCAAACAGAUUACCGCGGACCCGACUUCCAAAACAUGGAAGAAGACUGGGGCAGAAUCAUUCACAAAUCACCCUCUUUAUAGUUAUUUUUCUGACAUUCAGAUGGAAGCUUUUGUGAUUAAGGGCAGCACUGAUAGGUAUGAUACUGAUAGGUAAGCGUGACACAGUGCUUCCAAACGGAGUCUAGAGAACUAGGCCUGAAACUAUGAAAGAACUCCACCCUCAUUGUCUCACUGGUUGCCUCAAAUCCCAUCAGGUUUCCAAUUAAUGACUCUCACAAUGGGACUUGGUAAUGCAUUAACACCCUUGUGAUUAGUGUGAUCUAACCAGAGUUCUUCAGCAAGGGCUCUGAUUUCUCAUUAACGUGGAGCUGUAAAAUAAGAAUCCAGAGAGGGUAGUAGCGGAGUGGAGGCAACCUUUUGCAGUACAUUGCUGUUAAAAAAAAGACCAGGUAAUUAGGGAAAUCACACAUUUUCUCCAUUUCGCAACAUCUUGGUGCCCUUUAUUUCUGAAUAAGUGCUUCCAAUCAGAUGUGUUGACCCUGCGUGUCCCACCCACGCUGUCCAGAUUGAUCGGCUGAUCAAGGACACCGUGUGCCCCCUGUCACACACUACCCACACACCCCUCCCCGAGUCUCUCUGCACCACAAGAAGCACCACUAGCCUGGGACUCUGGAAGGGUGUCACACCGGACUGUUGUCCAAUUAACUUAAACAAAGGAAAAAGAAGCUGACAGUGGCUGGGGUGGGAGGAGGGACACUUUUCAUCUUAAAUUCACACCAAAUGUCACCAGAGGACGUCUGACGGCAAAGCAAUUAAAAUGUAAAGCAAGUGGAGCAAAACUGUUAAUUGUAGUUCUGUGGGGGGGGGGGUUCCAGACAAAGCUUUUGUAUUAUUACUUUCAGAGGAACUGUUAAUUGUCUGCACCAAGCUGGGAUGUUUUGUAGGUGGGUAAAAUAAAUAUUGUUUAAAAAAUAGAAAAACCGAACUGCAAAAAAAGUAUGUUAGUGUAUUGCAUGCUCAGUGCUACGAAAAUGAUGUGCAUUGUUUUGCAAAGAUCUGAGCAGCAUCAUGCCAUCAUAUUGACAGGCCCUGGAGUCCUGUAGGCCUUCCAACCAAUCAGAGUAGAGCAUCUUGAAUUCUUUGGCAUAUGAUAACUGAUGCUAUUGCACCUAAUGAAGACAGUCUCAUGCUGUACUCCCAGCCUCCUCUCCUAUCCUACUUUAAAUCCUGUCAUGGCACCACAAGUGCAUUUAUGGUUUUGUCCCCAUUUGACUUGUUUAAUUUUUUCAAAAUGUAAGUGCAAACUCCGGAUUGGCUGACGGUGAUAUGGGGGUGACAUGUGAUGAGCUGUAAGAAAAUGAGAGACGAGGACUUUUCAGUCUUGUCUGUUUGUUAACACAUAAGACAUGAGCACUUGAGCUCGUUUGCCCUUCUCCCUUAAUACCAAAGGGUGUGCCAGGAGCUGAAGAAGUUCAGAAAAAUUAAAGCAAAUUAAUACAAGAGUCCAGGUAGCAGGGCAAUGAAGGGAACUCGCAUAACUUUUUUUUUAAAGCAUGGUUGCUGAUAAUGAGCUCCUCAGUGUCUCUCCCUGGCUCGUUUCUGCAAUGCUGAGGGGCAGCUCCAUGAAAACAACCCAGGGAUCUCGUUAGAAAGCAUUUUCGUUAAGGAUUUCUAACCCAACUCCCCCCUCUCCUCCCUCCCCAUUUAGUGUAGGAGACAAUCGGAAUACCUCCAGGCACCUGGCUUGUGUCCGAUAAGUCCUCCGUCUGGGAUCCGGGAGACAUGUCUGGCAACUGACAGCUCCUAAGGUGCCACUAGCACAGUACCUUUAGAACGAACAAGCUCGGAGUCUAACUAGGACUGCAACAAAAUGAACCUGAUUUUUUUCUCAUAUAAAAUCUGUUUGAGUGACCCACUCCAGCCUCCAGUUUCCAUAAUCUACCUCUUGGUACAAGUGGCCCCAUCCAUAAACAACAUGAUCCCAUUUUUUAAAAAAUUCUGGACUUCUCUUGACUUCACAGACCUCCAGAAACAGGUGCCAUUCCCGUUCCCGUGCAGUGGUGGACUCCAUGUUAUCAUUCCAGGACAAAUAGCUUGGCUGAAUCCCUUCCAGUGACGCACAUGCCUCACAUACCAUUAAAACCAGUAUAAAGCAUUAGCCUUCUGCACCACUGCAUGCAUGGCUGUUAGGAUAAGGAAAUAACCCAGAAAUGACUAAAGUCGGGUGCAUGAUGGUAGAAGAACCUGCUGUUCUGGGGUUAGCCUGCUUUCUGACACGCUUUGCCACAAGGAGCUUGUAAAGCUUUCAGAAUUGCUUUGACCCGACUUCAGCGUUCCUGCUCUGAGCUUUGCAAGAUUUCCUUCUGCUGUUUCACGGUUUAAUGUUUUUAGUGCCGCUCACCCUUUGCUUGUUUUUCUCCGGACCUCAUGCCAUACUUCACUUCACCCCCGUUAGGCUUCGCGUUUCCCCGUCGUCUGUUUUGUUUUAGUUUUUCAGGGCCCGACACGACGAAGUUUCUGCCUGGAUUAUUGGGCUCCCGGUUCAUGGCUCUCUCUGCUCUUUGCCCUGUCGCCCCCGCAGUGGGGGAGCUCCUCCUGGUCCUGUUCACUUCCUCCUCCGGCUCACAAGGUGUGGAGCAGCCGCCCAGGCAGCAUACGGAGCCUAGCAGAGCUAGGUGGCAGCAGGUUCCAGCCCAGCGUGCCCGGGAGAGGAAAGAAAGAGAGAUGGCGCCAGGCCUCGUCCGCAUUAUUAAAGAUCUCAGAUGACUAAAGGGGAGACAGCCGGAGCUGUGCCGGGGCCUCGGUGUGCAGAUUAGCAAAGGGAACACGGAUACAACCCCAGGGGCCAUUUCAAUUCUCUUCCAUUUCCAGCUCAUUGACCACGAGCCAUUCUCGUGCAGUUUUCAUCUACUUUCCUUCGCCAUCCUGAGCUUAACUGCAGCUCAUCAUAAUUGCGUUUAUGCCACCUGUAUGGUUUUAAUGCUUUUUGAUAUCUCCUUUUAUUUCUUUUCUCUUGUUUUUUUUUUCCGCAGCUUGUUGUGCAGCCAGACAACGCAUUCGUAGCAGACAUUUAAUAUUAAUUUGCAGAAGGCCUGCGUUUAACACAGUUGCUGUAAAUCAUGUUGAAUUAAUGAUGCGUUCCUCUGAAAUGUUUACCCCACAUGAAAAGUUGUGCAUAGUAUAACUGUUCUGCCCACCAUUGCUUUUAAAAGGGUAGCUUUUUUCCAUUAUUAAUUUUUUCACUUUAUAACCAGCAGCGUGAUUCUCUGUUGAGCUUUCUCCUUAGAUGUGCAUGUUGAAAUUGCAGAACAAACUGUAUUGGGGACCGGCAAAUUUCUGAAGCUUUCCAGAAAAGGUUUGCUCCCUGUUAAUGCCAAGUUUAGAUUCCCAAAUCCAACCACAGCUCUUAUUGUCUUCAUCUUCAGAGUAAUGGGUAUUCCUUCCUUAAGUCUGAUGGUCUGAUUCUUAAAGCAGUAAUUAACACUAAUCUAGAGUUUACCUGAUGCUAAUAAUGCAAGAGCAAUAAUGCUAAUCUUGGGGUCAAUGAACCAUUCCAAUCCAAUACAAAUUGGAUUCCAGCUCCAGACUUCAGUGAUAGAUAAGUAAGCUAGGCAGCUGUGCAAUACGAUGAAGUAAUGAGUCCCUUGGCAACAAAUGGAGAGUAUUUGUGAAUGGGUAAUGAUGGCCUUUUUUUCUGCAACAGAUCAGUGUGAGGGCUCUCCUUGGCUUGGAUUUAUUCCACUGCAAAGCCCUUGCGCUGCUGUUGGAUAGAUAAAGCAAUGUGUAGAAUGCAAAAAUUUACGAUAAGUUUAAGACAAGGGCUGGGAAAUCAUAUCACCAAAAAUAAUUAAGGUGCAUUCAUUGCGUGGUCAUUUACAAGAAAGGCACGAUGUCAGUAGGUUGCAUUGGAUCCCUUGCUUAAUAUUUAAUGACCUUAUCUGUUUGACAUCUCUUAGGGGCAGGUAGUGGAACAGGCUCUGGGAUGUUUGCCUCUUACCAGGAAUAAACACCUUCUGGUAAUGGGUGAAUGAUAAUGAUGACGGGUAAAGUUUGGGAAGAGUGACAGUGUGAAGUAGUGAGUAUGAGCUUCUGAUCCUGAGAGUCUGGGGAUCAAAGCCCAGAUGCAACUCUGCUCCUCUGCACCUGGGAAAGGUACUGUAUCCUAAUUGAUCCAGCAAUCACAACUGUCAGCUGGUACUGAGACACAGGUAAACAGAAGUGGCUUGAAUUAAAGCUUCAUCAAAAAAUGAAUUCAACUGUUUUUUGCUCUUGUUACUCUUUGCUUAUGCCCUUUUGAUUCUGAUAGGAGGAGUUAAGGUGGCAUGCUGAAAGAGAUGCAAGGUUUUUUAAACUAACCUUUUUAAAAUUAGAGGGCUUGAGCUGGUGAGCAAAUAGGAUCUGUUCCACAGAGGAAAAGAUCCCUGAUUUUUUUUGUUCUUUGUGUGAAACAAAAAGUUAAAUAUAUGGAAAUGAGAAGAGAAAGUGUACAUCUGACAAAAGGAUGGAUGCCUGUAAAGAGGGUAGGAAAGCUUUUUUUAUAUAGUGUUUUCAGCACAGGCCCGAAAAUAAAACCUAUUUCUUGUCCUGUUCCAGGGCAGAAGGCUUGGGGAGAAUUGCCAUUUAGAAGCCAGCAGGAUGACAGAGGGUGAGAAUCAGAGCCACAGUGACAAAUUUGCGCUCACAGUAAUAAAAAAGCAUAUUGUAGCCGCGCAGCCUCCUGUAGAUUCAGCUCUAUCGGGGGGGAGAUAAGAGGCAGUAUCAGAGAAGUUAUCUUUGCCAUGCACAGUCAGGAGGACAGGUGCACCGUUAAACAUAUUUACACCUCCCGGCAGAGGCCAAGCCCCAUGAAUUAUUUAGCUCUUAUCUCUCACAGUGCAGUGGCAGCCACCUCCGUGUUCUACCCCUAACGAAUCCUGACUGCAGGAGCUGUUCCUGGCCCAGGAAAAUAUUUAUUUGUGUGAUGCUUUUAUCCAGAGUGCCUUACAAAUUUACCCAUCUGGGCAUUUUUGAGCAAUCUGGGUCAAGUGCCUUGCUUAAGUAAGACAGCAGUGCCCCUUCCUCGAUUGGAACCUGUAACCAUCCGAUAAUAAGUGCAAAGCCGAGACAGCUACUCCGCUCUGCUGUUGUGACUGCUGCCAGUCUGGAAAACAAGACUAGAGUGAGGACUUACACUGAGAGAUACAAUAGCAGGUGGCAAAGAAUGGAACUUUUGUCUUUAGGAUGGCAGUAAGAGCUUUUGAAAUGGCAACGAGAAUAAGAGAAUGUAACCAUCCGGUCAGGCAAUGGGAGUCUGGGUUGCCACCCGUGUUCUGCCCAGCACCCAUUAGCACCUGGCUUCACAAUCGGUGAAAUCAAGCAAAGCUUUCGGUUGAAAUGAAAACCAAACAGGCAGGGUUACCCUUGAGAAAAUAGAAGGGUCCAUAGGAUAGCAGGAUUUGCUUAUCUUUUUCACUGUGCGAGGCGGGCUAGGAGAGUUACUUUCUUAAUUGCAGCACAAGCAAAAGAUGCUACAGAUGGAGCCUAAGCAGAGAAAUAUGCAAACCCACCCCAGUGCAGCCAACAAGCAAGGCCCACUGCGGGAAGGGGAGGGUGCGGCAGAUAGUACAGGCUGAGAAGAAUGCAAACCCAGGAAGUUGCCGGCAGUCAUAAAUCUUGUAUUCCCUCGGUCCCUUGCUGCGCCCAGGAUGUAUUGGCUUCAGCAGCACCUCGUUUCGAUUGUGCUCUGCAGCCCAGUGGUACCUGAGGACCCUGGUGUUAUAUCGAAGUAAUUUGGCUUAAUGAUCUGGCGAUCAGGGACUAUCCUGUCAACCAUGUAAUUGAUCCAAUCGGCUGUGCACCCCUCCAAUCUGCUCGAACACAGACAUACACACACACGUUUGCAUUCCUGUGGGGACUCCAGGUUGUCUCUCAUUCUGUUUUUACUAUUCCAAACUUUCACACGGGGUGAAAGCAACAUUUUUUCAUACAUUUAAAUUUAAAAGAAAAUCCUGUUUUGUUUACACAACGGCAUUGAUGGCGAUAUGUGCGCACACAUACAGAUUUUGCCUCACCCUCCAUGCUCCUGGCUGUCCUUUUUAUGCAUCUUCACACCCCCUAUCAACACACACACUUUUUGCUUCUUUCUGUCUGUGCUGCAACCUUAAAGAUCGGAAUUUUUCAAUGUCAACAUCAGCCUAUUGUCUGCUCAAAAGACAGGGUCUGCUGAUCACAGCAAGGCGAGGAAUCAAAACAAGGUUUUUUUUUUUCCUAGGAUUGCCGUGCAAAGCAUUUUAAGAGGUGCCUUCUUCAUUAAAACAAGGGUAGCGUCGGAGAUGGUGGGGGAUGGGGAGGUGUGGAGGCCAGGGCAGUCUAACCCUUGUUUCCCACAUGAUCAGUGGAUUCCAGAUUUUAUCCAGAGCCAAAGACUUUGCCAUCUCCAUACUCUACCCUGAUUUUUUUUCAUUUGGACCCAUUAAACAAGACCCAGAUUUAUAUUGGAAUAUAUAUAUAAACACAUAUAUGCACACUUUUACAUAUGUUCAUGUGCAUGUGUAUACUGUGUAUACACUAUAUUCUCAGAGUGCAUACUAACACUGCCUAUGGCUUUGCUGAAGGAAGGAGCCAGUGCUCCUUGAUGAAAGUGCUGCUGCCAAUGGAAGCAGUUGCAUCUUUGGAUACUCAAGGAGCUAUCCAGGUAGAAUGAUAUUCCAGCUCUCCGUUUUCUAAAUUAAGACAAUUGCCGGUAAUGCCAAGCAGAGUUGUACAGUAGAAUGUCCCAUCUUCAUUUUAUUUUCUUUUUAAUUCUUUGAUUUCUUGAGGAAGAAAUUUCAACGCUAUUGAGAAGACUUCUUCACAUUACAGGUCUAAAACAAUUGAUACACGGGUCAGUGGAAGGAUGAAGGAUGCCCAAACACAGGAUUGUAGAACUAUUGUUUGCAGAAGCAGUGAAUGAGUUUAAUGUUUCCAUUUUCUGUAUCAUGACUGGAUCCUGGUGCGUGCUUGUUUGGAAGCACUUUCAGACGGUGAUCUGAUAAAAUCAGCUUCUUCACAGCAUCCCUAGUCAAACAUAUAAUGAACCCUUUGGAGCAGGUUGUCUUCAGGGAGAUUAAUUGCUUUCUCCUUCCCCCUGUUGCAUUAGGAACAAGGCACAUUUAUAAUUACUACAUGUCCCUCUUUCACACACCUAUUGUUGAAAGUUUCAUUUGUUCCUUAACCUUUAGCUAAUGAUGCAUUGCUAAAGCCCAUUGGCUUUGCACAGUUAAUCUGUUAUAUAAAGGGAAUGAGUGAUGGGGCUCUAGGUUGGCUGAGCUCACUGACAAUGAGUUAGCCGUUCACUCCUGGGACUGGUGCGAACAGGACGUUCAUCUACAUUAGCGUUCACAGUGGCAGUUGUAAGUGGAGCUUUGACAUUCUGAAAACCCGUUGUUCUCUACCGCAUAACGGGAAGCUAAACAAAACAAGGUCUGCUGUAGCAGACCAGAGUAGAAACAAACAACUGCUUGUAGUGUUCCCUCCUACCCUUCUGAAAUCUUUUGUGACCCAAACAUAUCUUAGUGAAGCAUCUGACACAUUGGAGAGGCUGUGGGAACUUGUGUAAAGUCUGACCAAUUCUAUUCUAAUACUAAUCAUUAACAUGGCGUUACAAAUAUGACAUUUUGUCUAGGCUCUGAGAUGUGAAGGUGGAGGAGGUGUUGGCCCUUGUUAUUAUUGGACCAAGAUUAUAACACUUUGGCCAAGGGCUUGCGGUUCUAGCCCCUAUCCCACAGAAGGAGCUAAGGGGGGGGGUCUUCUAGGACUGCUGAAGUUACCUGCUAUUUUUAAUCAGUAAUGACCUUAACACCUGUACAAUGCUCUGUACCCCAAUGCCAGGCCUAGCUGAAUGCAAACACUAAACCUCUAGGGUUUGCUGCCCACUGUAUAGGUUGGACAGUUUGGCCUGAGCUGGCAGAGAGCAAUUUGUAUGCCAAGUGCCAAGCUAGGGGCUGCUGUUCAUCUUUAAAUAUUUGCAGUGCUGUGCAAACACCCAAAAAAAAUCUCCACCUCGCCGAAGCAUUUCGACUGCAGCUAAAACAAUUACUCGUCUGUCUGCAGGGCUGGAAGAAGCAUUUUGAGAAUUUUUCCUCUAAACCUUGUGUUGUUUGCUUUCAAAGUUUUUUUUUUUAAAGACCUUUCUCAGCAAGUGUAAACAAGGCAAAGGAGAGAAUCCGUCUUGCGGGACUGAAGGAUCUGGGUUAGCUCCCUGCUUAGUGUGAUGAUUAAUUGCAGAGUGCAGUGAGGCCCGGCGCCGGCGGGGCCUGCUCCUCUUUCCAGAUGUUCUCCUGGUCAGCCAGAGCAGCCGGGAGGCUGACUGACCUGAGCUGCCUGCCCUGGUAUCUGCCUCCUGAUGACAAGGCACUGUGCCCAUGGGUGCCCUUGUCAAAGCAGCAGAUGCUCAGAGUGCUCCUGAACAAGGGGAGGUGAGAAGGACCAGUUCUGCACCAUUCUUUGUACAGUCUCAAACCUGCAGCUUUACAACAAAGAAGACUUCCAGUUUUAGCACUGCUGCAGCUAGUAUACAGUGACUUCUUCGAGGUGAAUACCUUAUUGGUAAUACUGCAAUGCUAAACCGCAUCUAUGAUACCACAGUGCUUGCCCCUUGCAUGUGUGCAUAGCUCACAGUGGAUACAGUAGUUCAGCAGUACUUCUGUAAAUGUACUGCAACUAAUGUCGCAAUCUUAUCCAACCAAGACACUGUGUAAUCCUCUUGAGAACAGGAAAAGGGCAGUGGUGCAAGGAUGACUGCUAUAUAUAAUCCUAUUCCAGUUUCUUCACAGUUGGUACAACACAAGUAUGGCUCUAAGUUAGUGGCAAAUGCAACCCUGUGAAUCUAAGCAUCAAGGUAGAAUUUCAGAUUGAUGGGCGAGAACAAAUUCUAAAAUGCAUGGGCAAAGGAUGAUCCAGAACACUACCUGAAGCAUUGUUCUUUUCCUCUUUAAUUUUACAACAAUGAGAUGUGACUCUAAGCUAUGAAAUGGGUUUUUUUCUCGGAAGCGUUCAAUACUAAUGAUGAAAGAUCCUGCAAAACAAAAUCUAAAAAAAGGAAAAUGUCCUUCGUGAGACACAAUCGGGAUUGAGCCUUCAGCCUGAUUUAAUCACUGUCGGCUGCCCCAGUCCCCCCCCCCACACACACACACACCUUCUUGGAAAUUCAGGCAACUAGGACAAUAACUUGAUAAAAGAGAAGGAUCAUGCCAGUACAGUGGAGUGAGUCAAUCAUGGCAGCAGCCUCCCACGAUCCCCUAAGUGCAAACACUGUGGCGGUGGUGUUGGCCACAUUAGAAGAAUGAAUAGCCUCUAAUUGGAUCAGACAAGGAGAGCCCCCCACCCUAGAAGCUGCCCUUGGUCCGACCUCUCUUGGCCUCCCCCUGUCUCCUUGCUAAUUACCAUUCCUGGCAGCUCUGAGACGCGGCUCACUUGCACUGACCCCAGAUGCCACCCCAGGAGGAUGGCUGAGACGCAGGGCCCCGAUGUUGAUAUUUAAAGCACGCUCACACACGCUUGCUGAAGGUACUGUACUUACGCCACCGCUCUCCUCGGCGGGCCCCUGGUUCAUCCCUUCCAGGUGCUUCAUUCUGCACAGCCUUGUUACUUGCUAUGCACCCCCUUGCCUUUGUUCUUAAUUCUCCGUGCCUUUUCCGCUUUCAGCAUACUGAUGACGUGCUGCCGUUAAAAAAAAAAAGUCAAGUGAUAGUCGUCACUUUCUUCUGGUUCCAUUUAGUGCAUCUGCAUCCAGGUGUCAGGACAGAAGGAAAAAAGAAACUUAAUCCAACAGGAGAUACGACGCCUAAAACUAGGUUUCAGCUAGUCUGCAUUUUUAAAAAACGAGAAAUACAAUGCUCAAGAGCAAGUUCAAAACAUUUUUUGCGCUUGCUGGCGAAUCAUAUCAAAAGAUCCAGAUGAAUUACAGCGCAGGGGAGAUAGACCUUGUGGUGUGUGGGCUGGAAUGCCCUACAUGUCAGAUCAAACCUAACAAAAAAUUAGGGGACAUUUUUGUUUCAUCUCCUCUCAGGAUUUUUUUUAAUUAAAAUGCUUUAUUGUUUGCAUAGGCUUUGUCACAGUAUGUUUUUUUCAUUAAAGAGAGACCGUUAGGUAUUGAUCUCUCCUUAGAUACUAGCGGGGCUGCAAAUCUUAGAAGAUGCUGUAUAUUUUGAGAUCUGGAUGUCUCGUAAUUAAGGGCAGUCAGUGCAGAGACACUUCUGCUUGAUUGUCAGUGUGUAUGUACGCACUCUUUUGCCAGUUCUAAUUACUGUUCUGUUAAUUUAGAGAGUAUUAGUAUUAAAUACUUUAAAAGUGAUUAUUUUUAAUCAAUUUUGUGAAUAAAAAUAGGACAGGAUUAAAUACAGUUAUUGGAAGUAGUCAGGGGGUGGGGGUUGUCCAUGUUUCCCAGCUGGUUAAUUUGACUGCUGAUUGGCUGAAAUUAAUUGAGAGACUGUGAGAUGCGGGGGGUGAUUUGGCAAGGUAGGAUGAUGGCGGAGCCCCAAGUUAGGGACAGAGAUGGGGGCACUUUGUUGUAUCACACCAGCAAUUAAGGGAAGACAGUUUCUUGAUACUUCUUAAUUGCUAGUGUGAUUUCUGAUCCUGACUUUGUAUGCUAAUUGGUUUCCCUCCAUGCACAGUUUAAAAAUAAAAUCAAGACAGCAUUUGUGAUACACAGAGAUAACUAGAUGCAAAAAGAUGAAAUCAUUUUUAAUAGCUUUGGUGUUCAUUUUAAGAAAAGGCUUUUCAUUUUGUGAUUUAUUUUGCCCAUUGUCUCUGUCCGUCUUGUCUGUUUCCUGAACAGCUCAUUAAAAUCUGUUCCAGAUUAAAAUUUGUUUUUCGAUUUGAAGAGUUUAAGUAUUUAGCUGAAAUACACAAAGCUUGUCAUAAUAACAGUUGCUGGAUCAAGUAAGAAGCCAUGAUUCUGUACAUUGGGUCCCUGAGUUCAGUUCCGGACCGGGGGUACUAUCUGUAUGGAGUUUGUAUGUUCUCUUUGUGUUCACAUGGGUUUCCGCCGGGUGCUUUGAGUUCCUCCCACAGUCUAAAAACAUACUGAUAAGUAACUGGAUUCUGAGGAAAUUGUUCUUAGGAGCAAGUGUGUGUGUCGGUGUGUCUGCCAUGAGACGGACUGGUGUCCCUUCCAGAGUGUACCCUGCCUUGUGCCUGUUGCUUGCCAGGAUAGGCUCCAACUCCCCCGCGACCCUGAAUUGGAAGGUUAGAAGAUGGAUGGAUUCUGGGAAGUGUUCUCAAACACGGCUCAGUUUAUGUAGUGAGUACCUCAAUUACUGCACGUUUUAUGCAUUCCUGAUCAACAUACUGUAUUAUCUACUAAUAACUGUCCAAUUAUACAGUAGGUCAAUAUUUAAAGGGGACACUUUUUCAUAACACAAAGGACAAACUUUGCUAUAGCUUUCAAACUGAUUACUCCCAUUUUGCACAAUGCAACCAGAAGACCAGGUGACAGUAGUGCAGAUUGCAUGCACGUGUAAUUAAAAAUGAAAGAAUCUCUUUUCACAAAGAAAGCAUCUUUAUGUCGAUAAAUUGUUCCUAACCUGUCUUUACCAAGCAAUCAACUUUGGUACCUUGAUUCCAUGCCAUUGUGGGACUUUGAACCUUCCAAGUUACAUACUUCAUUGAUCUUUAACCCAGAUGCCGCGGAUCACUAAUGAGUAUUAGUUGGAACAAAAACUUGCAAUCGCUUGGAAUCCAUGUGCCAAAGUCUACUACCCUUGAUCUAUGCUGUGCAACAUGUAUGGAACCCUAGAAGUAGCUUGGUGAUGCCCUUGGAUUCUUGAGAUACUAGGGUCAUGUCACUAGCCGACUGUGACUGAGAUCCCGCCCCAGUGGGAAGGGCUGGGAUUACCCCAUGGGAGCCCUUUCAGCUAUUGACGAAAUGGCAGCUACUGUGAUUUCCUGGGGGUCUCUGGAGACUCCACAGGAUACCAACUUUUCCAUAAGGGCCUAUGCGUGUCGAGACACGAAUGGCACUUGCUGUUGGGUAUUUCAGAGGGAAAAUAUUGGCAUGGCCUAGGACACCCAUGUGGGCAAAAGAGCCAUUGACAGUGACUGGAACCUUAGAAAACUGGUUAUUGAACAAAUGAAUGGCAGUUUUCAGAUUCAAAACAAGCGGGAGGGGAUUAAGACUUUGGAGUGCUAUGAGAAUUAUAUGAAUAUUUUUAACAGUGGAAUCCGAAAGGACUGCAUUAUCUUUUUUCUUUUCCUUUGACAGCCCCCCUCCCCCUCCUCAUUUCCUUCAGAACUCCUCCUGUAGAUAUGUAUCACAGUGUCUUGAGUUUCAGCUCAUACAGGCUUUAAUCUGAGUCCCCGUGGCUGGGGCUCCCUGGCGGUGCAUCUCAAGUGAUUGCUUCAGAUGUAUGAGCUGCUGUGGUGUAAAUGGGCUGUUUAUGACCAAUUCAUUAUCUGAGUCAUUGCCAGCUCGCUCUACCGGCCAGUCUGCUCAUGGUGAGGUAAGUGCAGCUGUCACCUGGUGAGCCAGGGACUAGGAGCACACAAUCUUCCGUAUCAUUCUAGUUAUUCUCGAUCAAGUUUUUAUCACAAUAGCUUUUAUCAUAAAGUUCGAAUUUCCAUCUACCGAGAAAAGAUAUUUUUCAGUGUUGAACAGCCACCUGAACUACUACAUUUUUCAGUGUUGAUGCCUUAGCUGAUUUUGUUUAGCCUUCUUUUACCUCAUACAACAGCAAUUUCAAUUCAGACCCUCCCCGAAUUGUUUUCUGCCACUGGUAGUGAUCAGAAGCAUCUAAGCUGGUUUUUCGUGACUUGAUUUCCUGCUUUCCCAAUGAGUGGAGUCAUCUUUCCAAGAGGAAGUUUCAUCUUUAGCUCCCUCACCCCUAUUUUCCGAUCCAGAAGGGGAUUUUUGCCAGAGAUCUAAAUUUACUAGGCAUUUGACUUAGGAGAUAAAGACUUGGACCACAAAAUCAUGGAUAUGGGGGAAGUAUGCAUAUUGCGAGAGCUGGGAAAACAUCCUCAUGUUCUUUUGUCUUCGUGUGGUAAUUGUUAUUAAUGCAUGGAGAAUCCGAGAAUCAAGCUGCAUCAGAGGGAGUAAGGAGAGAGAGCCUUCCUGGGUGGUGACUAGAACAUGGGAAAUCAGAGCUGAUUUAUUGGGCUGCUUUCAUUAUACAGUAUAACAAAAGGUCAGAUGGCGCUGGAUGUGCCUUCACAGUAAUAGAACAUACAAAAGCCCAUAAGCCUUUUUAGAUACAAUUAACCUUUAGCUUCUUCAUUAUGGGUGGAAGAGGCAGGGAGGCUGCGUGGAGGACAAAGUGUGUCUGUGUCAACACUGCCGCCCUCCCAAUUUUAAUACAAAGUGUGGGAGAGUGAGUGCGUAGGGGCUCUGCUGUUUAUUAACUCCGCUCUGUCUCUCUGCUGGUCUCUCAAGUGCUUCGCGCCAAUCCCUUGUGCUCAAGGCCUCUUAUUGCAUUUGUCAAGCAACAUCUUGUCAUCAUACCGAUGCCACUGUGCACAUGUUACACAAACCCUACACCUACCUUCCUUAUUGUCGAAAGCACAAUUUAUCUGUAUAGCCUUUGAGAUUAAAAUAUAAAGAAUGCCAGUGUAUUCUCUAGCACCCAGGGGAUCUGGAGAAUGAGGAAGCGCAAUCAUUGCUCAGAAAUGGAAUCUUCCACUUUAUUGGCAAUGGCCAACUUCAGAUCUUCACUUUGGCUCACGGUAGUACACAUUUUGAAAACAAACCCCUUGACUCUACACCAAACUACUGAGCAAUAUGCUUCAGGUCCCUAACCACUCCUUAUAUCCCCCAAGUACAUCUAGGGUACGGGACCAACAGAUUCAAAACGAGAACUAUUUUGCCAGGAUAGAAUCCCUUUUCUUGCCUUACAUCCCUGAUUUGCCCAUGUGUGUCUGUGUAAGCUCUCAUUCUUCAAAUGCCUUCUGUUGUGCUUGUUCUCUGUACUUUGAACGAAUGGCAUAUUUGUUUAGAAAACUAUUCCGCUUUGUGCUGGUCAUCCUUUAUAGCUGGUGUCCAUCUUGGAAACUAGGGUUGGUUGAGAAAGGGACCUCCCGAUUCCGCUACAACUUCAAACGAGGAGGAUAAGAAUGUUCUAAAGGAUGUUGGCGGCAAUCCCAGUUUCUGCACACUUGAAGAAAGGGCAUUGAUUGAAUUCUGUCCUGUGUGUCAGUCGGGGGCGGGGUAAUUUUCUGCGUGGUGCAUCAGAGGGUUGUCUUCGAUCACCUGUGUAAAGAGGCCCUGCACUUGGCAGGAGAACAAUGAGAUGGACAGGGGAUCCUCUUGUAUCACAGCCAUCUGUAAUUACCGGGUAGCCAGGCUGGAGACGUAGUUUUUCAUGAAGCUUGCAGAGGAAACAGCCUUCUGUGUUGGAAUAACAGUUCCUUCUAUUCAGCUAAUUUGCAGCUAACUGCUGAUAAAACCCAAUUUAGACUGCCGCUAUAAUGAAGCACAUCUGGUCCUCCCCACACACUCAUCUCCAGACUACAGCGCCUGCAAAAUAACCUCCAGAUUGUCUGGGGCUCAGCAAGCAGUGGGGUGCGGAGAACUGCCAGCAAAAGGUAAAAAAGGAAUCUGAAGGGAGACGGAUCGAGGGAGGAAGGAGGGGGGUGGGAGAGUGGGGGGUCAGGUGAUACCUCAAUUAGCUGCUUCUUUCUCCUCCUUUUUUCUGAUUGAAGAGCAUACUCCUUAACCAGCACAUCUGCCGUUGCAUCGUGCAUUUAGCAAGUAUACCUUCCCCAGUGGCUUCUCGCCCCAAAUGCUAACACCCCCUUCUGCAGGAAAUGUUUCGACAGUACGUACACUAUCACAACUGCUAUUCCAGAAAAAAUGUGCAUUCAUAGGUGUAAAUUAUAAAUGCUACUUUAGUUUUUACAAAUCAACUGUGAGCCCGUGUUUUUUCAGUUUCUCACAAGUCAGUGUUUUUUUUUUUCCCUCUGCUUGCCAGGAAGUGCAGUGUGGCUUGGAUUCACAGCUCUGGAAUUAUGAAGCCGAAUAUUUUUUUUCCAUUUGUCCCUUCCUGACUGUGUAGUGGAGCGAGUUCGGACACGGUGACCUCAUCGCCGUCCCUGCGCGUAGCAGGGACCUCAGCCCCCUGAACUGGGGGAGGUCUCCUUUAGUGCAUGCGGCUGGUUCCCUGUUGCGUUACGCCGGAGACCCGGGUUCACGCCCCAGUUGUCGAGGACGGAACUGGCGGGAUGGAGUGGCGGUGGGCAGGAGCCCGCGCAGAACCCCAGUGGUCACAACUGCAGUCCGGCAGUCUAGGAGGGUUUGGAGGACACAAAGGCAACAGCUGAAGGCAUUAUACUUCCAAAUAAAGAUGUCACAGAGCCUCUCAGAUCAUUUCACAUGCAGAGACAAAAGCCACUGGAGGGAGAUGGAGUCUGUGUGCGGAGGGUCACAGGGGAGCCAGAGCCUAUCCUGGCAAGCAGUUUACUGCAAGGGUGCAGAUCUGGUAGCAAGAGGGAAAUGAGAGAGAUCUGUGAAAGGAAGUCCUGGGUGCAAGUCUGUGUAGAGCUGUUGUGGAAGACAGGCGCUGCCCCCGUGGACUUGUGAUUGACAGUAAACACUUGAUUAGCAGAAAAGGAGAAGGGAGGGAGAGACCGAGAGAGAAAGUAAGUAGAACCUCAGCCACUUCACAGAUUUCAGCACUCAGGCUGAGAGCGCUUGUGGAUCUCGUUGCUUGACACGUUCAGGGAGAGACACUUCGGCAAGUCUGGAUGUGAAAUGGGUGUCGUUGUUUGAUGCGAUUGAUAAAAGUAAGCACGCCUGUAAGGUGAUUCAUUUUUCCCAAGCCCAUUAGAGUCAUCAGCAGUGCAUCUCCUGUUUUCAGGCCCAAUCUGAAGCCCAUUUCUGCAAUACUCUGCCCCAAAGCCUGUGUGACAUUGAGACGUUCCUUCCUCCCUUAGAUUCCCUGCAUUUCAUCUCAGAGUUUGGAAACACAGUCUGUUCAAGGAUAAUUAUUCACAAGGCCCGGCAGUGAUAAAAAGAGAAACCAGGAUGCUUGUUCAUAUCAGGCCUGCAGCACUGAAGUUGGAUUUUGUAUGUGCAAUGUCUAAAGCCGAUCAUAUUGAAGUCUCGUCAUGCGCUAGAGCUUCAAUCAAGGAUAUCGUAAUAAGACACGCAUGAUGAUGUAACCUAGAAAAGUCAUCUCACCCUAUUUUUCAAAAUUUGUUAACUACAUGCAGUCAUAAGGAUACAGUGGCCACAUGCUCACUCGGUGCCAGCCAUCCAAAUACAGGAAGAAAUAAUGCUGCCCCUUCAAAGGAACAUAAAGGAUGAGAGGUAGCAAGAUGGAGGAUCAAGACUGGGGAUCAGGAUCCCUGUCCCCUUUCCAAUUAGCCAAGACAGGGCAGACGGAUAAGUGCUGUGCCAGGAUCCGGGCUGGGCGAGAGCCGGGGUGACCUUGUCACUGGGUUCUGAUUACAUCAUUCAUGUUGCCUGGCAGCCUGGGCUAUGCUGGCAGGAUAAUGGAUGGGUCCUUUCAGGAUCAUGACCUUUCCUUCUCCCUUCCUCUCUCGCUCUCUGUCUUCAGCGGUCUCACUUAUCUUCCCCCUCCCCUGCUCUCGUUCUCUCUUGCCCACCAUCUGUCUCUCUUGUCUCCUUUUGUCUUUUUGCCGUCACUCUGUUCUUGCAUCCUUGUCUGUACUCUUUUCUCUCUCUGCUGCCACAGUGCUCAAGCUGCCUUCCCUUCUCUUCCCUCUCACUCUCUCCCCCCUGCCUGGGUAACCCCCCGCCCCCCUCUGUCUCUGUCUC